GAUCAGCUGGGGCUGGACCUCUGCAGGUGGCGCCCGAGACAGGCAUUUCGAAGCUAAAGAUGCUCCUAAAAGUUUAAGAAAACAUCCCUAAUCAGACCAUCCGCUCCUAGGAGGUUGAGGGAAACAUCCCGAUCAGACAGUUCGUAAGAUUUAGUUACCAAACAGUUAAAGGAUCUCCGGAACAGAAGAGGAAAACUUCGGGACGCUCCCAUCCCCCUAUGCCUCCUCCUCCAUGUCGGGGUAAAGGGCCACCGCUAGGAGUUUCCCGGAGAAGGAUUUUCUCUAGUCCCAAGGAUGAACUUGAUCCUCACCUUGAGGCUUCUUUUCUAGUCCCCUCUGCAGUUUAGCCAGGGUAAAGAGGUUACAAAAUAAAUAAAAAUAUUCUCUAAAAUUAAAAAAAAAAUUAAAAAUGGAUUUCUCUGCAUCUAAGAAUAGACAAAUAUUUAUUGACUGUGGAAUAUGAUUAGAAAUGUCCUGGACCUCCGUCACGAGGCUGUUAAAUAGACUAUGGGGGAGGCUAUAGAGGUGGAUGGUGGUGAGUCUCCAUUUACUGCACAGAUCAUAUUUUCUGCCAUUGAAAAAAAAAAAAAAGGAGGGAGAAAGUGGUCUACCUCCCGAGGAAGGAGAGGGCUUACAGGACGCUGCGGCCGAGAGCCCUGGCGAGCUCCCUCCCCCUCUGCGCAAACCUUUAAAAAACUUAUCCACCACUUUCUGAUUUAAGGCGACUGCCACCGCCUUCGAUUGUGCCUCCCAGGACCCAGGAGUUCCCCACUUUGCCCCCAAAGCCUCCCAAAGUGUUGCCUAAGACUGAGGAAGAUAAAAAGUUUUUUAAACAAAGGAGCUUUUAGUACACAAUAUGCAGAGCGUGCUCCUUGGAGAAAACUCCCUCAGGGGGGUCUCACCCAGGCUAGGAGAAAAGCGAAAAGGCAAGGAGAUUUAAUAACAAUAUUAACCCCUGAUGUGCCGCUUACUCCAAUUCCAACCGGAGUGGCUGGCCCCCUAUCUGAGGACAUUGUAAGAUUUGUCCUGGGGCGUAGCUCGCUUUCUUUAAAAAAAAAAUUAAAUAAAAAAAAAAAGAAAGAAAAGAAAUUUCGCUGGUGCAUGGUGUAGUAGAUUCUGAUGAUAUUGAGAAAUUAAAGUCUUGAUCUCACUGCCUAUCAAAACUGUACAAAUUAAUAAAGGUCAAAGA